rnacentral:rRNA from 1 species
GAUGAACGCUGGCGGCGUGCUUAACACAUGCAAGUCGAACGGAAAGGCCCAAGCUUGCUUGGGUACUCGAGUGGCGAACGGGUGAGUAACACGUGGGUGAUCUGCCCUGCACUUCGGGAUAAGCCUGGGAAACUGGGUCUAAUACCGGAUAGGACCACUUCGUAGUUGUUGUGGUGGAAAGUUUUUUCGGUGUGGGAUGAGCUCGCGGCCUAUCAGCUUGUUGGUGGGGUAAUGGCCUACCAAGGCGUCGACGGGUAGCCGGCCUGAGAGGGUGUACGGCCACAUUGGGACUGAGAUACGGCCCAGACUCCUACGGGAGGCAGCAGUGGGGAAUAUUGCACAAUGGGCGGAAGCCUGAUGCAGCGACGCCGCGUGGGGGAUGACGGACUUCGGGUUGUAAACUCCUUGCGCCAAAGACGAAUUUAGGACGGUAUUUGGAGAAGAAGCACCGGCUAACUACGUG